rnacentral:ncRNA from 1 species
AAUGAUAACACACCUAUAAAUAUAAGCAUUAAUGCACCUAACCUAUUUACUUACCCACACAUCUAAUCAAUGCAUAGAACGAGUAGGUACAAGAGGGAUAGGGGUUAAUGUGUUAAUAAUCACCUAACCUAGACCUUGAAUCUACACCCCCUAACCUUAUAAAUCAUCAACCCAUAACCAAUAACCCUUCUAAAUACGCAAUGUGAUUUAUUCCCAUUGCUAUACACAUCAAAGUUAAUAAAUUCAACCAAGCGUGGGUAAACGGCGGGAGUAACUAUGACUCUCUUAAGGUAGCUAGAUGCCUUGUCAUCUAAUUAGUGAUGUUCAUGAAUGGAUUAAUGAUAUUCCCCACUGUACCUAGAUAUUAUAUUCUAGAGAAACCACAUCCAAGGGAAUGGGCUUGGAAGAAUUAACGGGGAAAGAAGACCCUGUUGAGCUUGACUCUAGUCCUAACCCAUUCAUAGUUUGGGAAAAUUAGGGCAUAGUUUGGGAAAAUUAGACCAUAACAUUUGU